GACGAACGCUGGCGGCGUGCCUAAUACAUGCAAGUUGAGCGCUGAAGGUUGGUACUUGUACCAACUGGAUGAGCAGCGAACGGGUGAGUAACGCGUGGGGAAUCUGCCUUUGAGCGGGGGACAACAUUUGGAAACGAAUGCUAAUACCGCAUAAAAACUUUAAACACAAGUUUUAAGUUUGAAAGAUGCAAUUGCAUCACUCAAAGAUGAUCCCGCGUUGUAUUAGCUAGUUGGUGAGGUAAAGGCUCACCAAGGCGAUGAUACAUAGCCGACCUGAGAGGGUGAUCGGCCAAAAUGGGAAUGAGACACGGCCCAAAAUCCUACGGGAGGCAGCAGUAGGGAAUCUUCGGCAAUGGACGAAAGUCUGACCGAGCAACGCCGCGUGAGUGAAGAAGGUUGUCGGAUCGUAAAACUCUGUUGGUAGAGAAGAACGUUGGUGAGAGUGGAAAGCUCAUCAAGUGACGGUAACUACCCAGAAAGGGACGGCUAACUACGUG
rnacentral:rRNA from 1 species